CCAAUAGCGUAUAUUAAAGUUGUUGCAGUUAAAAAGCUCGUAGUUGAAUUUCGGGGUCAGUAGGUUGGUCGUGCCAACGGUAUGUACUGGCCUUACUGAUUCCUCCCUCUUGUAGAACCGUAAUGCCAUUAAUUUGGUGUUGCGGGGAAACUGGACUGUUACUUUGAAAAAAUUAGAGUGUUUAAAGCAGGCUAACGCUUGAAUACAUUAGCAUGGAAUAAUGAAAUAGGACGUUCGAUCCUAUUUUGUUGGUUUCUAGGAUUGACGUAAUGAUUAAUAGGGAUAGUUGGGGGCAUUAGUAUUAAAUUGUCAGAGGUGAAAUUCUUGGAUUUAUUGAAGACUAACUACUGCGAAAGCAUUUGCCAAGGAUGUUUUCAUUAAUCAAGAACGAAAGUUAGGGGAUCGAAGACGAUCAGAUACCGUCGUAGUCUUAACCAUAAACUAUGCCGACUAGGGAUCGGAUGAUGUUAAUUUUUUAAUGACUCAUUCGGCGCCUUACG
rnacentral:rRNA from 1 species